rnacentral:rRNA from 1 species
AUUGAACGCUGGCGGCAGGCCUAACACAUGCAAGUCGAGCGGAUGAAGGGAGCUUGCUCCUGGAUUCAGCGGCGGACGGGUGAGUAAUGCCUAGGAAUCUUCCUGGUAGUGGGGGAUAACGUCCGGAAACGGGCGCUAAUACCUCAUACGUCCUGAGGGCGAAAGUGGGGGUUCUUCGGGCCUCACGCUAUCCGAUGACCCUAGGUCGGAUUAGCUAGUUGGUGGGGUAAAGGCCUACCAAGGCGACGAUCCGUAACUGGUCUGAGAGGAUGAUCAGUCACACUGGAACUGAGACACGGUCCGGACUCCUACGGGAGGAAGCAGUGGGGAAUAUUGGACAAUGGGCGAAAGCCUGAUCCAGCCAUGCCGCGUGUGUGAAGAAGGUCUUCGGAUUGUAAAGCACUUUAAGAUGGGAGGAAGGGCAGUAAGUUAAUACCUUGCUGUUUUGACGUUACCAAAAGAAUAAGCACCGGCUAACUUCGUG